rnacentral:tRNA from 1 species
UAAAUAGUAGCUUAAAUUACCGAAAGCGUUGGACUGUUAAUCCAAAAAUGUAAUUAUUACCUAUUUAG